rnacentral:rRNA from 1 species
UACGUAGGUGGCAAGCGUUGUCCGGAGUUAUUGGGCGUAAAGCGCGCGCAGGCGGUGCGGUAAGUCUCUGGUGAAAGCGCUCGGCUUAACUGGGCGAGGGCCGGGGAGACUGCCACGCUGGAGGGGAGCAGAGGCGAGUGGAAUUCCGGGUGUAGUGGUGAAAUGCGUAGAGAUCCGGAGGAACACCAGUGGCGAAGGCGGCUCACUGGCUCGUAUCUGACGCUCAGGCGCGACAGCGUGGGGAUCAAACAGG